rnacentral:rRNA from 1 species
UACGUAGGGUGCAAGCGUUGCCCGGAUUUAUUGGGCGUAAAGAGCGUGUAGGCGGCCAGGUAGGUCUGCUGUGAAAACUCGAGGCUCAACCUCGAGAUGUCGGCGGAAACCAUCUGGCUAGAGUCCGGAAGAGGAGAGUGGAAUUCCUGGUGUAGCGGUGAAAUGCGCAGAUAUCAGGAAGAACACCCGUGGCGAAGGCGGCUCUCUGGGACGGUACUGACGCUGAGACGCGAAAGCGUGGGGAGCGAACAGG